AGGGAGAUGAAAUUUCUGUUCAGAUGAGUACAACAUAAGAAGUAAUAAGCAUAGAUAUCAACCAUCAAAUGGCGUUAAGAGAGGCAUUCAAAUUACACUAGGAAAAAAAAUGUUCAAUAAUUCUAGCCUCAAAGACUCAGUCAUUUUGAAACAGCAAACAAAACGCAGACAUCACCUCCAGACGCUUGAAUCUUACCAAUCAUUCAAAUAUCUGGGGCAGUUUCAUUAUUUGCAAUUCCCAUCAAAGUUGGAAUUUCCUGAAAGAAUAACUACGCAGCGGCCUGGAUCAACUCCCGUUCUGCACGUUCUCUAAUCCUUCUCUCAAGCUCAGGCCUAAAAUUCUUUAUAAGACCCUGCACUGGCCAAGCA
rnacentral:misc_RNA from 1 species